rnacentral:rRNA from 1 species
GAUGAACGCUGGCGGCGUGCCUAAUACAUGCAAGUCGAGCGAACAGACGAGGAGCUUGCUCCUCUGACGUUAGCGGCGGACGGGUGAGUAACACGUGGAUAACCUACCUAUAAGACUGGGAUAACUUCGGGAAACCGGAGCUAAUACCGGAUAAUAUAUUUAACCGCAUGGUUCAAUAGUGAAAGACGGUUUUGCUGUCACUUAUAGAUGGAUCCGCGCCGCAUUAGCUAGUUGGUAAGGUAACGGCUUACCAAGGCGACGAUGCGUGGCCGACCUGAGAGGGUGAUCGGCCACACUGGAACUGAGACACGGUCCAGACUCCUACGGGAGGCAGCAGUAGGGAAUCUUCCGCAAUGGGCGAAAGCCUGACGGAGCAACGCCGCGUGAGUGAUGAAGGUCUUCGGAUCGUAAAACUCUGUUAUUAGGGAAGAACAAAUGUGUAAGUAACUAUGCACGUCUUGACGGUACCUAAUCAGAAAGCCACGGCUAACUACGUG